UACGGAGGGGGCGAGCGUUGUCCGAAGUUACUGGGCGUAAAGCGCGCGUAGGCGGGUUGGCAAGUCCGCUGUGAAAGCCCGGUGCUUAACGCCGGAGGGUCGGUGGAUACUGCCAGUCUUGAAGGUGCUAGGGGAAGGAUGGAAUUACCGGUGUAGCGGUGAAAUGCGUAGAUAUCGGUAGGAACACCAGUGGCGAAGGCGGUCUUCUGGAGCACUCUUGACGCUGAGGCGCGAAAGCUGGGGGGAGCGAACGGG
rnacentral:rRNA from 1 species